UGGGGAAUAUUGGACAAUGGGCGCAAGCCUGAUCCAGCCAUGCCGCGUGAGUGAUGAAGGCCCUAGGGUUGUAAAGCUCUUUCACCGGUGAAGAUAAUGACGGUAACCGGAGAAGAAGCCCCGGCUAACUUCGUGCCAGCAGCCGCGGUAAUACGAAGGGGGCUAGCGUUGUUCGGAUUUACUGGGCGUAAAGCGCACGUAGGCGGACUUUUAAGUCAGGGGUGAAAUCCCGGGGCUCAACCCCGGAACUGCCUUUGAUACUGGAAGUCUUGAGUAUGGUAGAGGUGAGUGGAAUUCCGAGUGUAGAGGUGAAAUUCGUAGAUAUUCGGAGGAACACCAGUGGCGAAGGCGGCUCACUGGACCAUUACUGACGCUGAGGUGCAAAAGCGUGGGGAGCAAACAGG
rnacentral:rRNA from 1 species